UCAUUGAUUGGUGGUUGCCAUGGCUGCAGGCAUUUAGCUUGGCAAUAUGGCGUCGGCGGGUCGGCGAAGGCCGCCACUUUUUCUCUUCCAGGCUAUUCUGGGUUUCUGAGGCAGGCCGGCCCGGGUAUGGGCUCUCUGUCACCGCUCAGCCUCCUGUGGGGACUCCUCCUGCUGCAGGGCGUCCUGAGGCCGCUGCGCGGGGACCCGGGUGUGUAUGGUGAGGGUAUGGCCUGCAUGGCCCAGGCUGAGGGAAUCUGGCUCUUAAAGGGCCAGACCUGGGGUUCCUAGGAUCCCGGAAGCCAGGCCACAUAAAAAGCCAGCACACGCACCCCAGGUACAGGUUCUGUACCCGUUAACCCCUCCCCGCACAUCCUUCCUUCCCUCAGUUUUCAUCCCACCUUUCAUCCGGAUGUCCAGCCCUGAGGUCCAAGCGACCCUGGUCGGAGGCAGCGAGGAUGUCGCCGUGUCUCUGACUCUGCUGCAGGUCGAGGAAGGAGUGUUGCCAGUUCCUACUUGUGGCGGCCGCCGCAAUGAGACAGAGGAUUGGAAUGUGACUGUGAGCCCCCGAGAGAGCACGCUGGAAGUGACCAUAAGGUGGAAGAGGGGUCUAGACUGGUGCUCCGCAGACGAGACAGCC
ensembl:processed_transcript Tctn2 tectonic family member 2